UACGUAGGGGGGCAAGCGUUGUCCGGAUUUAUUGGGCGUAAAGAGCGUGUAGGCGGCCAGACAGGUCAGCUGUGAAAACUCGAGGCUCAACCUCGAGACGUCGGUUGAAACCGUCUGGCUAGAGUCCGGAAGAGGAGAGUGGAAUUCCCGGUGUAGCGGUGAAAUGCGCAGAUAUCGGGAAGAACACCCGUGGCGAAGGCGGCGACCUGAACGGACACUGACGCUGAGACGCGAAAGCGUGGGGAGCAAACAGG
rnacentral:rRNA from 1 species